rnacentral:rRNA from 1 species
CAGACCUUGACGGUACCUAUUGAAUAAGCACCGGCCAACUCCGUGCCAGCAGCCGCGGUAAUACGGAGGGUCCAAGCGUUAUCCGGAUUCACUGGGUUUAAAGGGUGCGCAGGCGGCCAAGUAAGUCAGUGGUGAAAGCCUUNGGCUCAACCGGAGAAUUGCCAUUGAAACUGCUUGUCUUGAGUGCAGCAGAGGUAGUCGGAAUGUCAGCAUGUAGCGGUGAAAUGCAUAGAUAUGCUACAGAACACCGAUAGCGAAAGCAGCUUACCACACUGUAACUGACGCUGAGGCACGAAAGCAUGGGUAGCAAACAGGAUUAGAUACCCUGGUAGUCCAUGCCGUAAACUUUGAACACUCGGAGUUUGCCACCUAGUGGUGAAGCUCCCUAGCGAAAGCAGGGUA